GAGCACGUAGCUACACCUACAAACAGGGAAGAAAAUAGAAAGGACGAUUCGGCCUCCGCUUCCACUUCAGGUGAGAAUGUCUUUAUGGGACAAUACAGACAGACGGGCUCCAACAACGAGUACCUUCAUAUGAAUUUUUACUUCUUUUUAAAGCCCUCUUAUGUGAAAUUUGUACAUGUGUCUGCUACUGAGAAUGAGACCUAUAUAGCUAUACUUAUAAUGGAACCGUAACAGUAAUGAAUUGCCAUUUAAGACAUUAUAAAGGUUUUGGAGUUUACUCUUUAAGAAACCUAUUUUGUUUUGAGUGAUAAUAAAAAAAAACUGUACUGUGAUAUUUAAAAAUUAAAAUGUUCUGUUACACUAAUGAAAUUAUAAUUAAUUUAUUAAAAUAAUAUGAUUGUCACUUGUCGAAUCGUUACAAUAAAUGCCCGUAUAGUAUACCUAUAUCUUACAUAAACAGCUAAAAGCGCUGUAAAGCGACAUUGCUCAGCGUUGUUUCAUACGAUUUUACUCCCAAUAUUGUUUUCGUAUCACUUAAGGAGCCUCUAACGUAAACUCCAAUUA
rnacentral:misc_RNA from 1 species